rnacentral:lncRNA from 1 species
ACAUGACCUUUACUCGAUUAGCACAGAAUUUUUUUCUCAGUGGUAUGACAAUUCUAGGUUUAGAAAUCAAUGGAGCUAGAGCUAUAAUUUUGACCUUUAGCACAGCAAAAAGAAAUAAAAAAAUGGUUAUUCUCCCUGACUUUAGAGUGGACAGUGUAAUCAAGGUAGCCGGGCAGCAGGCGCCCGCAAAUUUGACGCCAGUGACAUGCUCCCUGUAGGAAUAAUCAACGCUUCGCUUUUGACGCUCCUCCGAUCCCUGCUAAUAGUUGAUUAAAAAUCUUGUAUCCUGGAGAAGACAGGCAUCAAUCACAUGCAUCAAUGCAUGUAUUUUUUUUUUGUUGUUUCUUUGACAUUUUCUUGCUCUCUGCGUGCAGUUUAAAAAAUUGCGACGCUUUUGACCGACCCCUACGCCACCGUAAAAAGCGUAAGGGAAUCGGGCCACGCAACGCUGCCUGCCUGCCGUUUUAUCGCCGACGGCGUUGACGUGGUUGCCGUCCCCGUCCCCGACAAAGUUACCAGUUAGCUAACGAUAACCAAUCACCUCCUCAUUACUCUCUACGUACUACACGGGCAGGCAUGCAAUAAUCCGUGUCCAUUGUAUGUACUGAUGAGUGCGUGUCUAACCACCUCACCAUGUGCUUAGGGCUUGUUUAGAUGCAAAAUUUUUUGGAUUUUGACACUGUAACAUUUUCGUUUUUUUUACAAACAUUGUUCAAUCAUGAAGUAACUAGGCUUAAAAGAUUCGUCUCGCAAUUUACAGACAAACUGUGUAAUUAGUUUUUAUUUUUAUCUAUAUUUAAUACUCUAUGCAUGUGCCGCAAGAUUCGAUGUGAUGGGGAAUCUUGUAAAGUUUUGGGUUUUUGGGUGUAUCUAAACAAGACCUUAAUUAGCAGGUUCUCGUCAGUCUUCUCAAGCUUCUUUACGCAAGGCCCAAGUGGCAUGGUUAAGUUAAAAAAAGGGUUAGCUUUGCAGCUUCUAGAAUAACCCUCUUGACCCGAAUGGCAUAAGGGCACUCCCAAUGCUAAAAACUACGUGUAGUUUCUAUACCUAUUAAUUUCUAUAGACACUAUG